AUUUCCGAUGAGGAGGUUCUCGGCUACAUGCUCGCUGGUCUGGGCUCAGAAUAUGAGCCCCUUGUUGCUUCAAUCACGGCGCGUGAUGAGCCAAUGAGCCUCGCUAGUUUCUAUGCGUAUUUGCUUAGCGUCGAGC
rnacentral:snoRNA from 1 species